UGGGGAAUAUUGCACAAUGGGCGCAAGCCUGAUGCAGCCAUGCCGCGUGUGUGAAGAAGGCCUUCGGGUUGUAAAGCACUUUCAGCGGGGAGGAAGGCGUUAAGGUUAAUAACCUUGGCGAUUGACGUUACCCGCAGAAGAAGCACCGGCUAACUCCGUGCCAGCAGCCGCGGUAAUACGGAGGGUGCAAGCGUUAAUUGGAAUUACUGGGCGUAAAGCGCACGCAGGCGGUCUGUCAAGUCGGAUGUGAAAUCCCCGGGCUCAACCUGGGAACUGCAUUCGAAACUGGCAGGCUAGAGUCUUGUAGAGGGGGGUAGAAUUCCAGGUGUAGCGGUGAAAUGCGUAGAGAUCUGGAGGAAUACCGGUGGCGAAGGCGGCCCCCUGGACAAAGACUGACGCUCAGGUGCGAAAGCGUGGGGAGCAAACAGG
rnacentral:rRNA from 1 species